GUGAGGAAGGGGAGGAGGGAAGCAGACAGGUUAGUGGGGGAAUUUGGAAAAGAAGUCACUUAGAAUGCUGGAGUGCAAUGCUAGCUGAGCACCCGAGGGGCGAGAGGAUGCAGAGAAAAGAAGCGAUUGGAAGAACCCUCUUGGAAGAGUGCACACAGGAAAUUGCCAUCAUGGACAAACCCAAAAUGGAGCAGACGUGGAAGGCUGAGACCAGAACAAACAGCUGGGAAGGAGCAGGUGAAGUCCUAAAGGCCUCCCAGCCUGGGGUAAGUUGUUUCGUCAAAUACCGGAGUCUUGAGGAGAAGCCGUGCUGCCUGAGGUCAGAGCAGAUGUGUUGGCAAAAGACACAGGGAGGCUCGAUCAGA